AUGUACAUUCCUACAACAUAGCGUUAAUUUACAGAAUCUCAUUAGAACUUCGUAGUUAAGUGCACUAAGGCUAGAGUAGUAUUUGGAUGGGUGACCUCCCAAGAAGUCCUAGUGUUUUACAUG
rnacentral:rRNA from 1 species